UCCCCGAUAGUCCAGUGGUUAGGACUCUGUGCUUUCACUGCCCAGAGCCUGGGUUCAAUUCCUGGUCGGGAAA
rnacentral:tRNA from 1 species